CUGUGGAUCUGGAUCAGUGAAAGUACAAUUCCCAGGCCAGCAUCGGCAACCGAACGAUAGAGAAGCUGGCCCAUUGAAUGCCUGAUCCGCUGAUCUACAGAGUAGGACCCCAGCCAAGGGGCUCCUCUGUAUGCCUGACACAUGGAACAACAGAAAAGAACCCCAGGCAAAGCAGUCCUCUAAGUGCCUGAAUGGAUGGAGCUAUGGAGAAAGAAUGGCCAUAGAGGCCUUCUGGUCACCAGCUAAAAGAGGCGCAAAAAAAGACGGAUACUCUGCCAACAUGGAAAUAAAGGAAACUUUCAUCUAUUAAUUUUUCUAAGAAGAUAUGUCAUUUGCAU
ensembl:lncRNA